AACGAACGCUGGCGGCAUGCCUAACACAUGCAAGUCGAACGAUCCCUUCGGGGAUAGUGGCGCACGGGUGCGUAACGCGUGGGAACCUGCCCUUAGGUUCGGAAUAACUCAGAGAAAUUUGAGCUAAUACCGGAUAAUGUCUUCGGACCAAAGAUUUAUCGCCUUUGGAUGGGCCCGCGUUGGAUUAGCUAGUUGGUGGGGUAAAGGCCUACCAAGGCGACGAUCCAUAGCUGGUCUGAGAGGAUGAUCAGCCACACUGGGACUGAGACACGGCCCAGACCCCUACGGGAGGCAGCAGUGGGGAAUAUUGGACAAUGGGCGAAAGCCUGAUCCAGCAAUGCCGCGUGAGUGAUGAAGGCCUUAGGGUUGUAAAGCUCUUUUACCCGGGAUGAUAAUGACAGUACCGGGAGAAUAAGCCCCGGCUAACUCCGUG
rnacentral:rRNA from 1 species